ensembl:ncRNA R31.4 ncRNA
AUCUGAUAAAAGAAUACACGAAUCUGUGAUAAAUCCACGAAACUGAAGAAGUUAGUGGACUUUGUGUAAAUUAUAGUGGCUAACGAGAGUUGCGGAUACCAACUGUUGUUGCGGGGAAAUGAUAUCCACUAAGAGCUUUAUCGUUCUCACAGAGUACCCUCUUGCACAAAGAGCAGCAGUCUGUGACUGAUUUUUUAGGAUCUUGUGUGUUUUGAGAGUGUGUCAAACACUCGGUCAGUUGAAGACUAGUGGCCAAGUGGGGUUGACAAGUUUUUUAAAUGAUAAAUGCUUGAUUAUUCUAAUAAGAUAAAG